rnacentral:rRNA from 1 species
CCUACGGGAGGCAGCAGUGAGGAAUAUUGGUCAAUGGGCGCGAGCCUGAACCAGCCAAGUAGCGUGAAGGAUGACUGCCCUACGGGUUGUAAACUUCUUUUAUAAAGGAAUAAAGUGCGGCACGUGUGCCUUUUUGUAUGUACCCUAUGAAUAAGGAUCGGCUAACUCCGUGCCAGCAGCCGCGGUAAUACGGAGGAUCCGAGCGUUAUCCGGAUUUAUUGGGUUUAAAGGGAGCGUAGGUGGGAUGUUAAGUCAGGUGGGAAAGUUUGCGGCUCAACCGUGAAAUUGCAUUUGAUACUGGGAGCCUUGAGUGCAGUAGAGGUAGGCGGAAUGCGUGGUGUAGCGGUGAAAUGCUUAGAUAUCACGAAGAACUCCGAUUGCGAAGGCAGCCUACUAAACUGCAACUGACAUUGAUGCACGAAAGUGUGGGUAUCAAACAGGAUUAGAUACCCUAGUAGUC